GAUGAACGCUGGCGGCGUGCCUAAUACAUGCAAGUCGAGCGAACGGACGAGAAGCUUGCUUCUCUGAUGUUAGCGGCGGACGGGUGAGUAACACGUGGAUAACCUACCUAUAAGACUGGGAUAACUUCGGGAAACCGGAGCUAAUACCGGAUAAUAUUUUGAACCGCAUGGUUCAAAAGUGAAAGACGGUCUUGCUGUCACUUAUAGAUGGAUCCGCGCUGCAUUAGCUAGUUGGUAAGGUAACGGCUUACCAAGGCAACGAUGCAUAGCCGACCUGAGAGGGUGAUCGGCCACCAUGGAACUGAGAAACGGUCCAGACUCCUACGGGAGGCAGCAGUAGGGAAUCUUCCGCAAUGGGCGAAAGCCUGACGGAGCAACGCCGCGUGAGUGAUGAAGGUCUUCGGAUCGUAAAACUCUGUUAUUAGGGAAGAACAUAUGUGUAAGUAACUGUGCACAUCUUGACGGUACCUAAUCAGAAAGCCACGGCUAACUACGUG
rnacentral:rRNA from 1 species